AAUUUAUCAGAUUGGUUUUGAAACUAUUAUGAGAGGCAAACCCUAAGUAUAUCUAAUUGGUAGUUUUCUUUUCUUGUCUGCCUAAGGACUGAAUAACUAAGAAUUUUCAUGUAUUUACUAAUAAUAUUGUGAUAGUUUAAAAGAAUAAAAAUGUAAGAUCUACUUACAAAUUAACCAUUCUUCAUCUUGUUUUCACAACAUCAAUGUAAACUGUGUCUAGACAAGUGAUGAUUCAAGCUGCUCUUUUUUUAUUUUAUUUUUUGUUUUAGAUGCUGAAGUCCGAUUGUAAACUGUGUCUGGUCGAUUUGUUGCCAUCAGAACUUUGAUGUUAAUGAUUCAGUUGAUUUGAAUGAUGCUUUAAAAUUAUAGGUUUAUUAUGGAUUUAAUGAAUUAUGUUCUAAGUUCAGUAUUUGCAGUGAUUUUUUCAUCUUCUAAUUUGUGGUAUGUGCUGACAGCUGGAUGUGAUUGGCAUUGAUGAAGCUCAAUUCUUUGAUGACCUUUAUGAUUUCUGCUGCAAGGUUGCUGAUUGUGAUGGGAAAAUUGUUAUAGUUGCUGGCCUGGAUGGGGAUUACUUGAGAAGGACCUUUGGCUCAGUUGUUGACAUAAUACCCCUUGCGGAUUCCAUAACCAAACUGACAGCUCGGUGCCAGCUCUGUGGCAAGCGGGCUUUCUUUACCUUAAGGAAGACUAAUGAGACAAAGACUGAGCUGAUUGGUGGUUCUGAUGUCUAUAUGCCUGUCUGCCGCCAGCACUAUGUCAAUGGGCAGGUUGUCAUUGAAUCAGCAUGGGAUACUCUCGAAUCUUGUAGUAAAGCACAAACGGACUCUUAUCAGGAGGAAGUUGCAGUUGCUUAGAAACAUAGCUAGCUUAUUCACAGCCUAGUAGUUUUUUGGACUAUUUGUAUUUUAGUCAAGGUGUAUCUUGAAUUUGGAUUUUGCAAUGUUUCUAUGGUACCUUCUCAUAUGUAUAUAUAGAAAGUUUAUUUUAUAUUGUAUCAAUAUUUAGCACUUGAGUACUUCUAGUUUGUGUUUACAAGAUGGCAAAGAAGAUGGUGAUGCAGGCA